CUUGCAGGGUACUCGAGUGGCGAACGGGUGAGUAACACGUGGGUGAUCUGCCCUGCACUUCGGGAUAAGCUUGGGAAACUGGGUCUAAUACCGGAUAGGAACCAUCUUUAGUGUGGUGGUUGGAAAGUUUUUUCGGUGUAGGACGAGCUCGCGGCCUAUCAGCUUGUUGGUGGGGUAAUGGCCUACCAAGGCGGCGACGGGUAGCCGGCCUGAGAGGGUGUACGGCCACAUUGGGACUGAGAUACGGCCCAG
rnacentral:rRNA from 1 species